AGAGUUUGAUCAUGGCUCAGAGCGAACGCUGGCGGCGUGCUUAACACAUGCAAGUCGAGUGCGCAGCUUCUGUAGCAAUACAGGAGUGGGNNNACGGCGCACGGGUGCGUAACACGUGGCAACAUGCCCUUGGAUGGGGAAUAACCCGCCGAAAGGCGGGCUAAUACCGCAUAAAAUUCCUGGAACCUUGGUUUCGGGACUCAAAGCCGUAAGGCGUCUGAGGAGUGGCCCGCGCACGAUUAGCUUGUUGGCGAGGUAACGGCUCACCAAGGCUUUGAUCGUUAGCCGGUCUGAGAGGAUGGCCGGCCACACUGGAACUGAGACACGGUCCAGACUCCUACGGGAGGCAGCAGUGGGGAAUCUUGCGCAAUGGGCGAAAGCCUGACGCAGCGACGCCGCGUGGGGGAUGACGCUUUUCGGAGUGUAAACCCCUUUCGACCGAGACGAAUGCCCCGCAAGGGGAGUGACGGUACCGGUAGAAGAAGCCCCGGCUAACUACGUGCCAGCAGCCGCGGUAAUACGUAGGGGGCCAGCGUUGCUCGGAAUAACUGGGCGUAAAGGGUUCGUAGGCGGUGUGGCAAGUUGGGAGUGAAAUCUCUCGGCUUAACUGAGAGACUGCUUUCAAAACUGCCAUGCUAGAGUACGGGAGAGGUCAGUGGAAUUGCAGGUGUAGCGGUGAAAUGCGUAGAUAUCUGCAGGAACACCCGUGGCGAAGGCGGCUGACUGGACCGUUACUGACGCUGAAGAACGAAAGCUAGGGGAGCAAACAGGAUUAGAUACCCCCGUAGUCC
rnacentral:rRNA from 1 species